CCGCACAACCGUUCCUGUGGCAACAAGCUUAUUUGGGUAGACUUUGCUUUGUGGAAGUUUUAUUGAUUUUUGGGCCUUCUUGACCUCUGAAAAGCCUGUGAGGUACCUCCAUUUCAAAACAUUGAUCAUGACCACUUUAGCAAUUUCACUGAAAUUAAAUUCAUAUAUGCCUCCUUACUUUGAAUCCCAUUCCUUUGUCCCUGAUUCAUUGACAUAAACUUUAUUAAGAUGGUAUUUGAUACCUCCUAAACAAAUAAGCAG
rnacentral:lncRNA from 1 species